rnacentral:rRNA from 1 species
AUUGAACGCUGGCGGCAGGCCUAACACAUGCAAGUCGAACGAGUGGCGGACGGGUGAGUAAUGUCUGGGAAACUGCCCGAUGGAGGGGGAUAACUACUGGAAACGGUAGCUAAUACCGCAUACCAUCGGAUGUGCCCAGAUGGGAUUAGCUAGUUGGUGGGGUAAGGGCUCACCUAGGCGACGCUCCCUAGCUGGUCUGAGAGGAUGACCAGCCACACGGGAACUGAGACACGGUCCAGACUCGUACGUGAGGCAGCAGUGGGGAAUAUGGCACAAUGGGCGCAAGCCUGAUGCAGCCAUGCCGCGUGUAUGAAGAAGGCCUUAGGGUUGUAAAGUACUUUCAGCGAGGAGGCGUUACCCGCAGAAGAAGCACCGGCUAACUCCGUGCCAGCAGCCGCGGUAAUUC